rnacentral:ncRNA from 1 species
GGCCGUUGCUAGCCUCGAAAAAACCCGACGAGACGCGCCGUACCGGGUCAGGACAAGACGACGCACC